rnacentral:tRNA from 1 species
UCCAGGGUAGCUCAGUUGGUAGAGCAGCUAAAUUACAUUUCGCUGCCUGGCAAAAAAUGUUCCUAAAAUCUAUUUAAGGAGCCGGUCGCAGGUUCGAGUCCUGCCCCUGGAG